CCUAUACACACACACACACACACACACACACACACAUUUAUUUAUUUAAUGAGUGGGCAGAUGGCAAUGGUGCUAAGCUGUUUACACUGCCACUUGACUAAAACCCUGGAAAGGUGUAACAAAAAAGCACAGCAAAACAAAACUCUCACAAGUCUACCUGUUUGCAACCCACAUUAAUUAAAGAGCUACUGAGGACUAUUUCACUUCUAUGCAUUCUCCUCCACUUUCUUUCAAAGGUGUCUACAGUUUUCUCCCAUGGCUCCGUCUGCGUGGUGCCCUACCAGAGUUGGCAACAAGUGCAUUCAUGGGAAGUAGCACUGGAGCCCCGCAAGAGAUUCCUUCUCCCACAAAGUGAGUGGAGAGAGGUCACAAGUUCAGAAGCCACAUGGACCACAUGGACAGGAUUCACACCCAGGCAAGUCCAGCCGUGGGUCAUUCCUCACCAUCCCCUUGCACUGCCUCAUGGUCCCAAGCUUCUUUACAAACAGCCUCUUCAUUUUUCAUCAUAUGUCAGGCUCAUGGCAAACUUCAAUUAUAAAAGGAGAGGAAUCUUAAAGCAAAAAACCUGUUCAGUUAGGAAACUUGCCGAAGGAACACACUGGGUACAUGAUCAUUCUGAGAAUCCAGGUCUCAUGGACCCCCAGCCCCAUGACUGGACUUGUAAUUAAGUCUUGCAACCAACCCUGAAAUGCCUCCCAGGGGUGGCCUGGCUGGGGCCAAAUCUUAGGUUCCAUUCCCAUGAUUCUUGGAGGGCAUCAGUUCAAACCGCAUAGAUUUCAGGAUCAGGACAAUGCAGUUCAGUACUCGCUCUGCUAUUUAGAGGCUGUAUGAACUUGGGGCAAGUGUUCCUGACCUGUGAAUCAUGGCUGACCUUCCUCCACCUCUUGGGUUAUCAGUGGGGUUGACAAUGGCAGGGGGAGAGGGGCUGUACCCUGCGAGUACACAGGUCCUCAGCAAAUAUUAAUUCCCUCCCUCCCUCUAAGGGAGCGCAAGGAAUUCCAAGAUCCCCUGAUCCUAAGACUCACAACAUUUCUUAAAGUCUGAUUACAAACAAAAUAGGACAAGCAAAACAUUGAUAUGGAAACCUUCUUUCCUAUCUCUCAAGAGCAAUAAGGCAAUCUCCUCAACCUUUGAGAUGAUUCCCAUGUUGAUUUUUAUUUCCAAACUUGCAAUUUGGCACCCUUCUCUAAGCUUUUUUUUCCCCCUUUUCCUUCAAGUGACAGGCUGAGCUGUUACUUUAGCCAAAAAAAAAAAAAAAAA